ACGGGAGGCAGCAGUGGGGAAUUUUGGACAAUGGGCGCAAGCCUGAUCCAGCCAUGCCGCGUGCAGGAUGAAGGCCUUCGGGUUGUAAACUGCUUUUGUACGGAACGAAAAGGCUCUCUCUAAUAAAGGGGGCUCAUGACGGUACCGUAAGAAUAAGCACCGGCUAACUACGUGCCAGCAGCCGCGGUAAUACGUAGGGUGCAAGCGUUAAUCGGAAUUACUGGGCGUAAAGCGUGCGCAGGCGGUGAUGUAAGACAGUUGUGAAAUCCCCGGGCUCAACCUGGGAACUGCAUCUGUGACUGCAUUGCUGGAGUGCGGCAGAGGGGGAUGGAAUUCCGCGUGUAGCAGUGAAAUGCGUAGAUAUGCGGAGGAACACCGAUGGCGAAGGCAAUCCCCUGGGCCUGCACUGACGCUCAUGCACGAAAGCGUGGGGAGCAAACAGGAUUAGAUACCCUGGUA
rnacentral:rRNA from 1 species